GACGAACGCUGGCGGCGUGCCUAAUACAUGCAAGUCGAACGCAGUGGGGACGGGUGAGUAACACGUGGGUAACCUCCCAUCAGAGGGGAUAACACUUGGAAACAGGUGCUAAACCGAUACUGAUGGAUGGACCCGCGGUGCAUUAGCUAGUUGGUGAGGUAACGGCUCACCAAGGCCACGAUGCAUAGCCGACCUUAGAGGUUGAUCAGCCACACUGUGACGGAGACACGGCCCAGACUCCUACGUGAGGCAGCAGUAGGGAAGCGUCGGCAAUGGACGAAAGUCUGACCAGGCAACGCCGCGUGAGUGAUGAAGGUUUUCGGAUCGUAAAACUCUGUUGUUAGAGAAGCGGAAGCUAACCAGAAAGCCACGGCUAACUACGUGCCAGCAGCCGCGGUAAUAC
rnacentral:rRNA from 1 species